UUCACGUAAAUUGUCAAGGUCAAGACAGCAAAUUAGUUACCAUUCCAAUCCAGAGAUGUCGCUGUCAGUUAAUUCUCUUGUCAUAUUUAACAACUGACAGUUGACAAUUAAAUUAAUUUGUUAUUUACUUUUUAUUUUACAGUUUUUGGCUUAAUGAUUUUAUUAUAGUGGUGUUACGUUUUUAAUUAGAUUUAAUCACAAUUUUAAUCAAUUGUAUUAUAGACCAAUCAAAUCCUGAAACAGUGUAUUCCAAUAGACAAGUGUGUCAUCAACAUUUCGGACCUAUAUAUUUUUGGAAGUUUGUAAAAUAUUAUAAGGUAAUAUUUAUCUAAACUCUAAACAAUCAUCCUACAAGAUUCUUUCAAAAAUUUUCAUUCAACUCAAUAUUACACAUCAGUGCUUUCACGUGACACAUGGCAGUAGUGUUUAGCAUUUUGAAGAAAAAUUGGAAUAUUUGAAGUUUUCAGUAAAAUAUGGAAUAAAACAUUGAAUUGUC
rnacentral:lncRNA from 1 species